GCCAGUGGCAUCCUGAGUUUCCACUAAUAACAGAGGCUGAGAAGCCGCAUAUUAGAGGCAGUGCUGGACUCUGCGAUUGCCCGGAGGUGGGCCCCGGGGACUCUGCCCCGCUGGGCCUCGUCUCCUCCUGUGCCCCCCACCCGCUGACAGGAGGGAACAGGAGACGCCCACAGGGAUUGUUUUGCCAGGCUGCUAUCGCAUACCACCUCUGUCUGCUGCCUCAAUUUGCUUGGUGAAAAUUGUCUGAAUGAUGGAGCAGGAGUUCCAGAUGACCCCCCUCACCCCCACUGGCACAAGAUCUCUAAGAGCAUUGAAAGAAAUAUGAUUUACAAGAAAAUAAAUUGGAAGUGAAGCCUAGCACUCACUUGCUUUUGACUCUGGAUAAGCUUUAUGUACCUAUGAACCUCAGCUUUCAUCUCUGUAUAGUUGGAUUAAUAAUACUGCAGUGCAUACAGUUAGGCUGAACUGUAAGUAACAGUACUGAACUCAUCAGCUUAAAGCACUCAUGUGAAAGACUCACGAGGC
ensembl:lncRNA